AGUCACAAUUGUGUGAAUAAAAUUGGAAAUGUGAAAUUGCUAUCUUUAUAUUGAGCUUAUUAUACAAUUGAUGGUUAAAACACAUCAAUAGACGGUUCAAUAUAAUACAUUCAAUUCAGUGUUUUGGGCAAGUUUUCAUUGAUUAAGCAAAUUAGAAACAACGAUUCAAUUACAAAAUCCCUUUCAUUGAUUAUUUCAAUAUUUGUUAUUGGUUUGAAGCUUUUACAAUGAAUUAUACGAUUGGACUUCUCUUAACAUUGUUCAUUGUGUCAAUACCCUUACCAAAGCGAGAAGAGGACUUUGCACAAAGUUUAUACAGUCUUUACGAGUAUGAGGAUUCACGUAUACCAGACCCGCUAUUCACUGCUUUUGUUAACAGACGAGUUGACCAACUCAAUGCUUUAUGCGCAAAUGAAACGCUUUCUAAUGCAACAAAAGUCUUUUGUCUGUCCACAAAUAAUUCAUUAUCGUUACUCUUGGAUUGGCUCAGUUCUGAUAAUGUCUACAGUCAAAAAAAUAAUACCUUUAAGUACCUUGGAACCAGAGAUCUGCAUAAAUUUUACGAACAAACUGUGAAGAUUUUGAAUAAGGUUUAUAAAUUUAAUAGCAUUCCUGUUAAUGUUGCUGUUGAUUAUUUCAAUA